rnacentral:rRNA from 1 species
AGAGUUUGAUCCUGGCUCAGGACGAACGCUGGCGGCGUGCCUAACACAUGCAAGUCGAACGGAGAAUUUCAAUAAGUUUACUUAGCGAAAUUUUUAGUGGCGGACGGGUGAGUAACGCGUGGGUAACCUAUCCAUAAAUCCGGGACAACCCUUGGAAACGAGGGCUAAUACCGGAUAAUCUUAAGAAGUGGCAUCACUUUUUAAGGAAAGGUGGCCUCUGUAUAUGCUACCGAUUAUGGAUGGACCCGCGUCUGAUUAGCUAGUUGGUGGGGUAAAGGCCUACCAAGGCGACGAUCAGUAGCCGGCCUGAGAGGGUGAACGGCCACACUGGGACUGAGACACGGCCCAGACUCCUACGGGAGGCAGCAGUGGGGAAUCUUCCGCAAUGGACGAAAGUCUGACGGAGCAACGCCGCGUGUAUGAUGAAGGUCUUCGGAUUGUAAAGUACUGUCUUUGGGGAAGAACGGUAGAUUUGAAAAUAUUGAGUCUACAUGACGGUACCCAAGGAGGAAGCCCCGGCUAACUACGUGCCAGCAGCCGCGGUAAUACGUAGGGGGCAAGCGUUGUCCGGAAUUAUUGGGCGUAAAGGGCGCGUAGGCGGAUAGUUAAGUCCGGUGUGAAAGAUCAGGGCUCAACCCUGAGAGUGCAUCGGAAACUGGUUAUCUUGAGGACAGGAGAGGAAAGUGGAAUUCCUAGUGUAGCGGUGAAAUGCGUAGAUAUUAGGAGGAACACCAGUGGCGAAGGCGACUUUCUGGACUGUAACUGACGCUGAGGCGCGAAAGCGUGGGGA